UACGGGGGGGGCAAGCGUUGUUCGGAAUUACUGGGCGUAAAGGGCCAGUAGGCGGCCAACUAAGUCGGAUGUGAAAUCCCCAGGCUUAACCUGGGAACUGCAUCCGAUACUGGAUGGCUUGAAUUCGGGAGAGGGAUGCAGAAUUCCAGGUGUAGCGGUGAAAUGCGUAGAUAUCUGGAGGAAUACCGGUGGCGAAGGCGGCAUCCUGGACCGACAUUGACGCUGAUGAGCGAAAGCUAGGGGAGCCAAAC
rnacentral:rRNA from 1 species